UUCAAAGUUCAAUUUCAUGUGGGUCAUAUAACCAUGUGCAAAUGGACCCAAAGAAAAAACACAUGCCACGUUUUGAGCUGCACUUCUAUGACUUCUUUUCCGUCUUCACCUAUCACGCAAUAAUUAUAGCUAAGUCAGAAUCGGCUUUCUUUACAGAAUGUAAUUUUGGUUUUCACAGUCUGUUUUGGGCUACACGUCUAGAGCUGCUGCUGCUGUCUAUAUUAAACUUUAAACCCCUAAUUAAUUACAAUUAAGACUCCAUAAUACCAUAAAUACACACCCUGAACAUGCCUAAACCCAAAGUCUCCUGUCACAACUACUAAGUUUCCUCUUCCAGUUGACGACCAUGUGAAGAAAAAGAUCAAUGGGAUGGAUGUUCAGUUCUUAAUUAUACAUGAGCCAGCCAUGUGAGGGGAGCAGUGAGAUGCUCUGUCAAAAAGAAGCAAACGUGCAGCUUCGGGAGAUG
rnacentral:lncRNA from 1 species